GCGCGCUCGCCCCGCGCCCUCCGUCCCCACGCCGGCCUCCGCGCCCUCGCGUGCUGCAGCAUCUCCGCGCUGCCCGGCCUCCCAGCCGCAGCCUCCCCUCGCCGUCGCCUGUCCUUGCUGCCACCAUCGCUGCCGCCAUUCUUGGCACGGAGCUGGCCCGACCGGGCCCCGCCGAGAGCCGCCGCGGGUCGGACGCGCGCUUCAGACUCUGUUAACACCACUGGAACACAGCCAGGUUCUGCACGCCGACAUGUCUGACAAUACUGGUCCCUAGGGCUGAGUCCAUCGCCUUCCUGUGCCCCAGAGAGCUGCAGCAGUGGGCCACACCACCCUGUAACAGCUGUGCCACUGGAAGAUGAUGCUGCAUUGGUGUCUGGUGCCAGGGACUCACCAGCUUCCCCAUGCGCCCUGUGAGUGACCCGCCAAGCUUCACAAUCUGAAUUGUCUAGGCACGGCCACAGCACAGAACAGGAGACCUGUCACCCGCUCUGACAUCCCUGGCCUGCUGGCACAGAUACUGUUAUAAGCCUCACCAGACCAGAGGUAUGCAGGGCCAGGGUCUAAAAUUCAACCCAGAUUUCCAGGCCCUGGGAUCCUGUAUGGGUACCUAGGCUGCCAGGAGUAGAGGGCUCUUCUUGGAGGGACAGUGAGGCUUGGGUCCUACUUUUCUGCUUG
rnacentral:lncRNA from 1 species